CGGCCUCAAGCAUUAGAUCAGGACACGUCCAGUCCCAUGACCAGCGGUGAGCCUUGAGCUGCAAGGAGCCUCAGAGGCCAAGCUGGUUCAACCACCUCGUUUUAGACUGGGGAAACUGAGGCCCAGGGGCUUGGCCAAGAUCCCACAUGGAACAAAUGUCAGUCCAUAAACAUUCCUGAAGCAGCGCCCACGUUCCAGGCUUUCUGCUGGGUGCUGAGGACACACAGCCAAGAGGGACGCCACCCCGUUCUUGAGAAGCUGAUCAUGCAUAGCUCUCCAUCUCGGGCUAGGAGGUCUCCCCGCCUGUGCCCCAGCUGAGACUCCCUCCCACCUGGCCCUAGCUGACUGAGCAGGGCUUCUCCCACUGGAAUGGAAGCUCCUAGAGGGCAAGAAUUUGUUUUGGCUUUUCCUCUUUUGGCCGCCCCCUGGCACAGUGCCUGGACUGCAGUGGGCACCGAAUGGCCGCCCGGUGACUCCGCUGCCCGACGGUCACUUAAAUACAGGUCAGGAGA
rnacentral:lncRNA from 1 species